UCAUUUGCCUUAUAAUUGAAGGCUAGUAUGAAAGGUUUGACGAAAGUUAAGCUGUCUUUUUUUGUGUAAAAUGAAAUUAACUUAUAAGUGCAAAGGCUUAUAUAUAACUAAAAGACAAGAAGACCCUAUUGAGCUUAUAAAAAUAUUAUAGAGUAAAGUAUAUAUAAAAAUUCUAAUCUUUUUAAAUUUUUAGUUGGGGCGACUUAGGAAUCAAAAAAACUUCCUAGUACUAAAAUUACUUUUAUGUUUUAUCCAAAAUUUUUUGAUUAUCAGAAUUAGUUACCAUAGGGAUAACAGCAUAAUCUUUCUUAGGAGUUCUAAUCGAAAGAAAGGAUUGUGACCUCGAUGUUGGACUAGAAUAUCCUAAAGGUGCA
rnacentral:rRNA from 1 species